rnacentral:rRNA from 1 species
CCUACGGGGGACAGCAGUGGGGAAUAUUGCACAAUGGGGGAAACCCUGAUGCAGCGACGCCGCGUGAGUGAAGAAGUAUUUCGGUACGUACAGCUCUAUCAGCAGGGAAGAAAAUGACGGUACCUGACUAAGAAGCCCCGGCUAACUACGUGCCAGCAGCCGCGGUAAUACGUAGGGGGCAAGCGUUAUCCGGAUUUACUGGGUGUAAAGGGAGCGUAGACGGCAGCGCAAGUCUGGAGUGAAAUCCCAUGGCUUAACCAUGGAACUGCUUUGGAAACUGUGCAGCUAGAGUGCAGGAGAGGUAAGCGGAAUUCCUAGUGUAGCGGUGAAAUGCGUAGAUAUUAGGAGGAACACCAGUGGCGAAGGCGGCUUACUGGACUGUAACUGACGUUGAGGCUCGAAAGCGUGGGGAGCAAACAGGAUUAGAUACCCGAGUAGUC